rnacentral:rRNA from 1 species
AGCGAACGCUGGCGGCAUGCCUAACACAUGCAAGUCGAGCGCUCCCAGCAAUGGGGGAGCGGCGGACGGGUGAGUAACGCGUAGGAACGUAUCCUGAGGUGGGGGAGUAACCCUGGGAAACUAGGGCUAAUACCGCAUGAUGGCGAGAGCCCAAAGAUUUAUCGCCUUGGGAGCGGCCUGCGUCUGAUUAGCUUGUUGGUGGGGUAACGGCCUACCAAGGCGAUGAUCAGUAGCUGGUCUGAGAGGAUGAUCAGCCACACUGGGACUGAGACACGGCCCAGACUCCUACGGGAGGCAGCAGUGGGGAAUAUUGGACAAUGGGCGAAAGCCUGAUCCAGCAAUGCCGCGUGGAUGAAGAAGGUCUUCGGAUUGUAAAGUCCUUUCGGCGGGGACGAUGAUGACGGUACCCGCAGAAGAAGCCCGGCUAACUUCGUG